AUGGAAUGGGUGCGACAGGCCCCCGGGAAGGGGCUGGAGUUCGUCGCGGAGAUUAGCAGUUAUGGUAGUGGCACCUACUACGCGCCGUCGAGCCUUCAACGGGCCCCCAAACUCUACCCUGAGCCAUGGACCCUGCCCCAAGCCGUGUCCUGCCAGGGCUCCGGCUUCACCUUCAGCAGCUCCUACAUGCAAUGGGUGCGACAGGCCCCCGGGAAGGGGUUUGAGUGGGUCGCGAGUAUUUACAGUUGGGGUAGCGCCUACUACGCGCCGUCGGUCAAGGGGCGCUUCACCAUCUCCAGGGACGACUCCCAGAGCACGCUCACGCUGCAGAUGAACAGCCUCCGGGACGACGACACGGCCACCUACUACUGCGCGAAAAGUUAUGCUGGUGGUUGUUAUUAUGGUGGUGGCACCAACCCCGACACCGUGUCCCACCUUCCCUGUGUUGGGUCCCCUCAUCGACCGAUUUUGCCCCAAAUCUCAACCAUUAUCAUCAAACUCUGACAGAUUUCUCACCAGACCUCCGUGGUUUGACCCAACUCUUGACCA